rnacentral:rRNA from 2 species
UUCCGGUUGAUCCUGCCGGACCUGACUGCUAUCGGAUUGAUACUAAGCCAUGCGAGUCAUUGUAGCAAUACAAGGCAUACGGCUCAGUAACGCGUAGUCAACCUAACCUAUGGACGGGAAUAACCUCGGGAAACUGAGAAUAAUGCCCGAUAGAACAUUAUGCCUGGAAUGGUUUAUGUUCCAAAUGAUUUAUCGCCGUAGGAUGGGGCUGCGGCCUAUCAGUUUGUUGGUGAGGUAAUGGCCCACCAAGACUAUUACAGGUACGGGCUCUGAGAGGAGUAGCCCGGAGAUGGGUAGUGAGACACGGACCCAGGCCCUAUGGGGCGCAGCAGGCGAGAAAACUUUGCAAUGUGCGAAAGCACGACAAGGUUAAUCCGAGUGGUUUCUGCUAAAGGAACCUUUUGUCAGUCCUAGAAACACUGAUGAAUAAGGGGUGGGCAAGUUCUGGUGUCAGCCGCCGCGGUAAAACCAGCACCUCAAGUGGUCAGGAUGAUUAUUGGGCCUAAAGCAUCCGUAGCCGGCUCUGUAAGUUUUCGGUUAAAUCUGUACGCUCAACGUACAGGCUGCCGGGAAUACUGCAAAGCUAGGGAGUGGGAGAGGUAGACGGUACUCGGUAGGAAGGGGUAAAAUCCUUUGAUCUAUUGAUGACCACCUGUGGCGAAGGCGGUCUACCAGAACACGUGCCGACGGUGAGGGAUGAAGCUGGGGAGCAACCGAUAGAUACCCGGUAGUCCAGCUGUAAC